rnacentral:rRNA from 1 species
GAGUUUAUGGACUUCGGUCUACUACUCCACCCUUUGUUUACAAUACCAUUGUUGCUUUGGCAGGCCCGUCGAAAGACAACCGGCUUUGGCUGGUCAGUGCCUGCCAGAGGACCUAAAACUCUUGAUUUAUUAUUGUCUGAGUACUAUAUAAUAGUUAAAACUUUCAACAACGGAUCUCUUGGUUCUGGCAUCGAUGAAGAACGCAGCGAAAUGCGAUAAGUAAUGUGAAUUGCAGAAUUCAGUGAAUCAUCGAAUCUUUGAACGCACAUUGCGCCCUCUGGUAUUCCGGGGGGCAUGCCUGUUCGAGCGUCAUUACAACCCUCAAGCUCAGCUUGGUAUUAGGCUUCACCCUUAGGGGCGGGCUUUAAAAUCAGUGGCGGUGCCAUUCGGCUUCAAGCGUAGUAAUUUUCUCGCUUUGGAGAUCGGGUGUGUGUUUGCCAACAACCCCAUAUUUUUUAAAGGUUGACCUCGGAUCAGGUAGGGAUACCCGCUGAACUUAAGCAUAUCAA